rnacentral:rRNA from 1 species
GAUGAACGCUGGCGGCGUGCCUAAUACAUGCAAGUCGAGCGAACGGACGAGAAUCUUGCUUCUCUGAUGUUAGCGGCGGACGGGUGAGUAACACGUGGAUAACCUACCUAUAAGACUGAUAUAACUUCGGGAAACCGGAGCUAAUCCCGGAUAAUCUUUUGAACCGCAUGGUUCAAAAGUGAAAGACGGUCUUGCUGUCACUUAUAGAUGGAUCCGCGCUGCAUUAGCUAGUUGGUAAAGUAACGGCUUACCAAGGCAACGAUGCAUAGCCGACCUGAGAGGGGGAUAGGCCACACUGGAACUGAGACACGGUCCAGACUCCUACGGGACGCAGCAGUAGGGAAUCUGCCGCAAUGGGCGAAAGCCUGACGGAGCAACGCCGAGUGAGUGAUGAAGGUCUUCGGAUCGUAAAACUCUGUUAUUAGGGAAGAACAUAUGUGUAAGUAACUGUGCACAGAUUGACGGUACCUAAUCAGAAAGCCACGGCUAACUACGUG